rnacentral:lncRNA from 1 species
AGCUUGAUCUUGAGUCUUGGUUGGUGCUUCAUGUAGACCCUGAUCUGAAUCUUGAUUCUUGUUGGCUGCAGGUGUUGGUUCAAUCUUGUUCUAGGGUCAAGACCGGACAUGUAGUGCUCAUGACUUCAACCACGUCUUGAGCAGUUCACAUUUUUUCCUGCUUCUGAACGUUAGAGCUCACUUUUUUUGUUCUUUUUCUUCUUUCCUUUAUUUUGGAUUGAGACUCAUUUUUUCUGCCAUCUCGAAUCGUGUGCCUCGAGGUCAAACCUUCUUGGCACCUUGAACUAUUUUCCCUUGAAACUUGAGUUGUCUUCCGUCGACACUGAUUUCCCUUGAAACUUGAGUUGUCUUCCCUUGCUCCCCAGGUGAAAUCCAUUGUUGCCGUUUUGAAUUGUAAACUGAGAUGUUUUCCCUUCUUCAACUAUUAAACUUGAAUGUAUUUGAACUUGAAUGUAUUCCUCUGUUCUUCAGGCGGGCUCCUGACUUCUGAAUUUUGAAUUUGAAUGUAUUCCUCUGUUAUCCAGGUGGGCUCCUGAUUUCAUAAAAAUCGACAAAACAAAUAAAACUUUCUGCCCCAGUUUGGAAACUGGGUACAUGUUACUGGAAAUUAAUAAGAAUUUGAGUAAAACUUAACUUGAAAUACCUCUGUUAUACAGGCGGGCUCCUGACUUCCGAAACUUGAAUUGUAUGCCUCUGUUCUUUAGGCGGGCUCCUGACUUCAAAAGACAAAAAAUCGAUUGAAAACUAAAAUUUGAAUUGUAUCACCUCUGUUCUUAAGGCGGGCUCCUGAUUGUUGAAUUUGAAUAUGAAUGUAUUCCUCUAUUAUCCAGGCGGGCUCCUGACUUCACAAAAAUAGACAAAACAAAGAAAACUUUCUGCCCCAGUGUGGAAAACUGGUUGUUUGUUACCACAUACUAAUAAGAACUAAAACUUGAAUUGUGAUAAGACGGAAAUGCAACUUUUAAAAAUUUAAAGACUGCAAUGUAUCUUAAAAUUUAAAAUUUAUCUUAGGUGAAAAAUUCAUCAGACUAAGAUUUUCAUCUUAGUGAAAGAUUCGACUAACUAAGAUUUAUCUUUAUCUUAGGUGAAAAAUUCAUCAGACUAAGCUUUCCAUCUUAGGAGAAAGAUUCAACAGACUAAGAUUUUUAUCUUUUAUCUUAGGUAAACAAUUCAUCAGACUAAGAUUUUUGUCUUUAUCUUAGGUGAAAAAUUCAUCAGACUAAGAUUUUGUCUUUAUAUUAGGUGAAAAAUUCAUCAGACUAAGAUUUUUAUAUUAGGAGAAAGAUUCAACAGACUAAGAUUUUUAUCUUUAUCUUAGGUAAAAAAUUCAUGAGACUAAGAUUUUCAUCUUAGGAGAAAGAUUCAACAGACUAAGAUUUUUAUCUUUAACUUAGGUGAAAAAUUCAUCAGACUAAGAUUUUCAUCUUAGGAGAAAGAUUCAAUAGACUAAGAUUGUGACUCUAGGAGAUAAUUCAUCAGACUAGGUCCAUUUUAGUGUGAUCUCAGGAGGAAGAUUCAUCGGACUGCAAUUUUGACUCUAGGAGAUAAUUCAUCAGACUAGGUCCAUUUUUGUGAUCCCGACUUUCUUAAUUUUCCAAAUUCCAACUUCCAUUCUUUUCAAAUUCUGCCUUCCUUUCUUGUUCCCAAAUUAUGCCUUCCUUUCUUUUUUCUUUUUUUUUCGACUUUUGCCUUCCCCUUCUUUAAAUUAUGCCUUCCUUUCUUUCUCCUCAAAUUCUGCCUUCAUCGUUUUCCAAAUUAUGCCUUCCUUUCGUUUUUCCAACUUUUGCCUUUAUCUUAGGUGAAAGAUUCAUCAGACUAAGAUUUUUAUCUUAGGUGAUAGAUUCAAAAGACUAAGAUUUCUUUAUCUUAGGUGAAAGAUUCAACAGACUAAGAUUUCUUUAUCUUAGGUGAAAAAUUCGAAAUACUAAGAUUUUUAUCUUUUAACCAUUUUCCUUCGAAAUUUG